rnacentral:rRNA from 1 species
GAUGAACGCUGGCGGCGUGCCUAAUACAUGCAAGUCGAGCGAACAGACGAGGAGCUUGCUCCUCGCACGUGAGGGGCGGACGGGUGAGUCACACGUGGAUAACCUACCUAUAAGUCUGGUAUAACUUCGGGAAACCGGAGCUAACACCGGAUAAUAUAUUGAACCGCAUGGUGCAUUAGUGAGAGUCGGUUUUGCUGUCACUUAUAGAUGGUUCUGCGCCGCAUUAGCUGGUUGGUAAGGUAACGGCUUACCAAGGCUACGAUGCGUAGACGACGUGACAGAGUGAUCGGCCACACUGGAACUGAGACGCCGUCCAGGCUCCUGCGAGAGGCAGCAGACGGCUAUCGUACGCAGUAGGCGAGAGCCUUACGGAGCGACGGCGCGCGUGAGAUGGCGGUCCUCGGAUCGUAAUACUCUCUUAUUAGGGAAAAACAACUGUGUACGUAACUAUGCACGUAGUGACGGUACCUAAUCAGAAAGCCACGGCUAACUACGUG